rnacentral:rRNA from 1 species
AUUGAACGCUGGCGGCAUGCUUUACACAUGCAAGUCGAACGGUAACAGGCCGCAAGGUGCUGACGAGUGGCGAACGGGUGAGUAAUGCAUCGGAACGUGCCCAGUCGUGGGGGAUAACGCAGCGAAAGCUGCGCUAAUACCGCAUACGAUCUGUGGAUGGAAGCGGGGGACCGAAAGGCCUCGCGCGAUUGGAGCGGCCGAUGUCAGAUUAGGUAGUUGGUGGGGUAAAGGCCCACCAAGCCAACGAUCUGUAGCUGGUCUGAGAGGACGACCAGCCACACUGGGACUGAGACACGGCCCAGACUCCUACGGGAGGCAGCAGUGGGGAAUUUUGGACAAUGGGCGCAAGCCUGAUCCAGCAAUGCCGCGUGCAGGAAGGAGGCCUUCGGGUUGUAAACUGCUUUUGUACGGAACGAAACGGCUCUGGUUAAUACCUGGGGCUAAUGACGGUACCGUAAGAAUAAGCACCGGCUAACUACGUGCCAGCCGCCGCCGUAAGAC